rnacentral:misc_RNA from 1 species
UACGUAGGUGGCAAGCGUUGUCCGGAUUUACUGGGCGUAAAGGGCGUGCAGGCGGUCUACUAAGUCUAGGGUGAAAGCUCCCGGCUCAACUGGGAGAGGUCCUUGGAUACUGGUGGACUUGAGGGAUGCAGAGGAAAGUGGAAUUCCCGGUGUAGUGGUGAUAUGCGUAGAUAUCGGGAGGAACACCAGUGGCGAAGGCGGCUUUCUGGGCAUUACCUGACGCUGAGACGCGAAAGCGUGGGGAGCGAACCGG